rnacentral:rRNA from 1 species
AUGAACGCUAGCUACAGGCUUAACACAUGCAAGUCGAGGGGCAGCAUGACCUAGCAAUAGGUUGAUGGCGACCGGCGCACGGGUGAGUAACACGUAUCCAACCUGCCGAUUAUUCCGGGAUAGCCUUUCGAAAGAAAGAUUAAUACUGGAUAGCAUAACGAGAAGGCAUCUUCUUGUUAUUAAAGAAUUUCGAUAAUCGAUGGGGAUGCGUUCCAUUAGUUUGUUGGCGGGGUAACGGCCCACCAAGACAUCGAUGGAUAGGGGUUCUGAGAGGAAGGUCCCCCACAUUGGAACUGAGACACGGUCCAAACUCCUACGGGAGGCAGCAGUGAGGAAUAUUGGUCAAUGGACGAGAGUCUGAACCAGCCAAGUAGCGUGAAGGAUGACUGCCCUAUGGGUUGUAAACUUCUUUUAGAUGGGAAUAAAGUGGGCCACGUGUGGCUUUUUGUAUGUACCAUACGAAUAAGGAUCGGCUAACUCCGUG